CGAACGGCGCAUUAGUCGUAAUCAUUUCGCACUGUAAGGGUGCUCAGCGAGCGACGGAUGUCAAGUCAGUGGAAUCAUCAACAAGAGAAGAUAAUGAAACUCAUGCUCAGUUUAGUUUGUCUUCUUCAAGGUGUCAGCUCACUCAAGUUGGAUUGCCCAACAUUAGUGGAACUUGGUUCUUCAGCACGUUUAAUUUACUUUGGGACACAGUCAAACAAGUCCUUAGUUUCAUGGACAAGGCAUGAUAAUGUAGUAGCUAGCAAUUGCAAUCGGUAUGGCUGUGACGGCCUCGAUGGAUAUACAGUUUCGCGUAAUUCUAGCCACACUGAGCUAAAGAUUCUGGAAGUAGGUGAGAAAGAUAUCGGAACAUGGACUUGCAAGAGCCGUAAUGGAUCACAAUGUAAAAUAGAGG